AUCGCGUCGAAAUACCGCUUCUCGUCAAAAAUACCGAAGUUAAGCAGCUUUGAGCUUGGUCAGUACCUAGAUGGGUGACCGCUUGAGAAUACCAGGUGCUGUAAG